rnacentral:tRNA from 1 species
GGCCAGUUAGCUUAAUCAGUUGAGCGUAGCACUAACAACGCUCAGGUCGUGGGUUUGAUUCCCGUUCGGUCCC